AGAGUUUGAUCAUGGCUCAGAACGAACGCUGGCGGCAUGCCUAACACAUGCAAGUCGAACGGGAUCCGGACUUCGGUUCGGUGAGAGUGGCGGACGGGUGAGUAACGCGUGGGAACCUGCCCAGUGGUGGGGGAUAACUGCGGGAAACUGCAGCUAGUACCGCAUGAGCCCGAGAGGGGAAAGAUUUAUCGCCAUUGGAGGGGCCCGCGUUCGAUUAGGUAGUUGGUGAGGUAAUGGCUCACCAAGCCGACGAUCGAUAGCUGGUCUGAGAGGAUGAUCAGCCACACUGGGACUGAGAUACGGCCCAGACUCCUACGGGAGGCAGCAGUGGGGAAUAUUGGACAAUGGGGGCAACCCUGAUCCAGCAAUGCCGCGUGAGUGAUGAAGGCCUUCGGGUUGUAAAGCUCUUUUGCCNAGGGACGAUGAUGACGGUACCUGGAGAAUAACCCCCGGCUANCUUCGUGCUANCAGCCGCGGUAAUUC
rnacentral:rRNA from 1 species